UUCCGGUUGAUCCUGCCGGAGGUCACUGCUAUUGGGGUUCGGCUAAGCCAUGCGAGCGGAGGGCGCGGUCGAGAGAUCGUGGCCCCGCACACGGCUCAGUAACACGUAGUCAACCUACCCUUGGGACGGGGACAACCUCGGGAAACUGAGGCUAAUUCCCGAUAGGCGAGGGACGCUGGGAUGCCUCCUCGCCCAAAGCUCCGGCGCCCGAGGAUGGGACUGCGGCCUAUCAGGCUGUUGGUGGUGUGACGGACCACCAAACCUACGACGGGUACGGGCGAUGGGAGUCGGAGCCCGGAGAUGGGGACUGAGACAAGGCCCCAGGCCCUACGGGGCGCAGCAGGCGCGAAAACUCCGCAAUGCGCGCAAGCGUGACGGGGGGAUCCCAAGUGCCGUUGGUCUUUUGAUCGACGGCUUUUCGGAAGUCCAAGAAGCUUCCGGAAUAAGGGCUGGGUAAGACUGGUGCCAGCCGCCGCGGUAACACCAGCAGCCCAAGUGGUGACCACGAUUAUUGGGCCUAAAGCGCUCGUAGCCGGGUCAGCAAGUCCCUUGUGAAAUCGGGCCGCCUAACGGUUCGGCGUGCAAGGGGUACUGUUGGUCUUGAGGCCGGGAGAGGUCGGAGGUACUCCUGGGGUAGCGGUGAAAUGCUCUAAUCCUGGGGGGACCACCAGUGGCGAAGGCGUCCGACCAGAACGGACCUGACGGUGAGGGGCGAAGGCUAGGGGAGCGAACGGGAUUAGAUACCCCGGUAGUCCUAGCUGUAAAGCAUGCGGGCCAGGUGUCUAGUGCUCCUCGAGGGCACUAGGUGCCGGAGGGAAGCCGUUUAGCCCGCCGCCUGAGAAGUACGGUCGCAAGGCUGAACUUAAAGAUAUUGGCGGGGGAGCACCACAAGGGGUGGGACCUGCGGUUCAUUGGAUUCAACGC
rnacentral:rRNA from 1 species